GUGCCCAUCCGCUCCCCAGAAACUCAACAGUGUUGUGUCGGUCGGUGGAGUUUGGGUUGCCGUAGACGAUGGGGGAGUGCCCCAGGGUCACUGCCGCCGGUCUUCGGUUUCUUGUCGUGAAAAAGCCAUCACCACAUCCUCCGCACCUGGUGACCCACAUCCAAAAACAGAGGUUCCCAGUCCCCUAGAGAUCUCAUCCAAUGAGGAUGUGGCAAAGAACACCCCUAUGCUACAAAAUGGCCCUGCCAGGGAAGGAGAACGAGAUGCGGCACAUCAGAGGAAAUAAAUGGCACAAAUCCUGACUGAAUUUGAAUGUGGCACGUCUUGACAAAUUUAAUUUAAAAAAAAUAUUGAACUGAUAUGCUUCUCCACUUCACAUGAAAUGGACUUGGCCCAUAAAAUGGUAAAAUUCAAUUGACACAUAAAAUGUUAAGAAGCUCAUAAAAAUGGCAUACACAGUAAUCAUACAAGGAUCAAAUAAAUGCAAUAAUACAAUAAACAUUGUAAGGUGCAGGGAGAAGACCACAGAGAAGGUAAUAUUCAAGUAUUAUUAUUAUUCUUAUUUUUUAAAUACGUUAUGGGGAGGGGAAAAAAAGUGUUGAAUUUAGGGCUGACCCCAUUUAGUCAACUGGUCGACUGUUUGGUUGAUAGGCUAUUGGUCGACUGAUUUUUUUUGUCAAGAAGUAGCAAAUAUAUCAUUUUUUUCAUGGCCCAGGAGACACCUGUCUGAUUAUCCCGUCUCAGUGGACUAAACCAUUGCGGAGGCCGCGGGGAUGGCAUAGUCCAAUAAGGAGGAGAGUGUUGCUAAGAUGCACAAGGCACUUCUCUCUCCAGAAUGAGCUCUCUCCCGCCACUUUGUGCACAUUCAUUGUUUUAUAACUUCAUUGUGUGAAUUGUUUUCCCUUUGACUGUUAGCAUCUAUCAAUUCCCCAUUACAUAUAUCACCAGUAGAAUACUUACCGUUAACUCACAUCAUUUCUAAUCUACAAUGUUUGUUUGGUUAAGGUAUAUAUUUUUGUUAAUCCAUUUAAUAUAUUAUUAUUCCAGUCAUUUACCUUUAUUAUUGUUGGACUGGACACAGUUUGCAGAGCUCACAACCUAUGCUACACGUUUUGGUUUAUUUCAUUCCAUUAACGAGUUGUCAAUUUAUUCAUUGUCUUUUAAGGAAGUAAGGAUGUGCACCUGAUUACGUGUAGAAGUAGGCCUAGGCUACCUGGCCUGCGCGCAAAUGUAGGCCUAUAAAUGUGCCCAUUUGGGGAUGUCUGA